UUGGUCAAAAAUUGAAUUAUUCGCGUGUACUUUCUCAAGUUGGCAGGGAGAAUUUUGGCACUUACAAUAGAUAAUUUAUUGAUUUGCUUGACCUUAGCUGCUUAUAGAACAUCCCCACUUUCGCAUAGGUUGUUAACUCCAAGAUUAUAUCAACUCUCUUUUCUCCCAAAGUUUCGUGGACCUCUUCCUCUUUCUCAUUUUUUUUUUUUCAAAAUUCUCAUCUUUGAUCACAGAAGAAACAAAAAAGAUAUGGAGAGGAACAGUGCAUAUGAGAAUUCAUGGGCUGAUCAGUGGGACUACAAUAAUACAGAACCAUAUUCCAAAGACACCAAAAAAAGCAAUUCCGGUGGCGGCGGUGGCAGAGUGGCAAAGAAGGUGGGAGAAAAAACAAAGGCAGUGGCUUCAACUAGCAUGAAGAAGGUGAAAGAAGGUAUUUCUCAACCUCUGAAUGGGUGAAUGUUUUGGUUGAGCAUGUAAGCUGAAACACUAGUGGAAUACAGGCUUUUGGGAGUUUAAAUUAUCUUCUGAUUUUCCUGUUACUUUAGUAUUCUUGUAAUAAAUAUGUAAUUUUCAUGCUAUUCAUCUAUAUGUUUAGAGUGGUGUAGGUAGUUGAAUAUGUAUGCUUCAUUAUCAUGUUAUAGUUAAAUCAGGGUUGUUUAUUGCUUGUGCAGAGUUUUUCUUUUUGUGUUAAUGUAGCCUAUAUGUUAAAUCUGUGUUUCACCUCGGUUUGAAAUCGAUGGGGUGUCAUCUGGUAAAAAUCGUGUGUAAGUUGUUCCAGCAGAAUAUACUUUGCUAAUGCUUUAUUCAGUUUAAAUUGAAGGUUUGAAAGU